rnacentral:lncRNA from 1 species
GAAUAGAUGUAACAGGACAACUUGCCACUUUACCCUCAUCGUGAAUGACAAAUUAUGGAAGUUUUCUCUCCUUAAGAUUAGUCUAGUAAAAGAGUUUUUUUUAAUGAUUUUGAUCGAGCUUAAUGAAGUAUUUUAAUUUACGAUCGUUGGACAGUAUACUGGCAUCCAUCUUAAUCAAAUUCAGAUAUCAUUAAAUUUGAUCAUUCAUAAUUUGUAUUGAAUAAUUUAUAGAUUAGUUUAAUUAUGAUUUGAUUAAAACAUAUUGCUCGGACCAAUCA